UGGGUGGGCAGAAAGGUUAUUAGAGAACCACAGAGAGCUGACAAGCAAAGGAUCCAGAGCAUAUUGAUGGAAGCAAUCUGCCUACCCUGUACACCUCCUGAAGCACCAGCUACCGCUGAGGAAAACGAUGAAGUAUAAAUGAGAAGUAAAUGACCUCUGUCCAUUUCUCCCUCUGGCCCAACUGCUCUUCCAGUGACAGACUAUAUAUUGCCUUUUGCCAAGAAUCAGCAGUUCUUCAACUGUUCACCAUGUACGUAAGUAAAAACUGAACAAGGAAAAUUGCUACCAUGUUCAGAUAACCUCUGUAAACUGUGAUAUUAUCUUCUCUUGUGUAGGUCUUACCUUAAAAAUUAGAGCUCAAGAUAAAGUCUUGUAUGGUGUUCUUGGCCUCAUGGCUACUUCCUUUCCUCCUCCUUGCUGACUGAGGGUGCCCUUCAUGUCAUAAUCUUUUUAUGACUAAAGCCUGAUGGUCAAGCUGCUAAGACAUCCCUACAGAUCUUUUCUCUGAUCACUGAUCCCUUAAGGGAUCUUGUCUUCCUAUUUGAACAUUUCGAGGCUGUGACCCUGUGAAUACACAGCCACUGGUGGAGGUAAAAUCUGAAGGUAAGUAUGGGAAGAGCCGUUGAAUCCCUGGAGAAUCCCCAGAUAGAACCAGAUUGUUUAUACAAGUCCAAAUACUCUUAAUAACUUCUAAUCAUUAGGGCUAGAUUCUACAUGUUAACAGAUUUAUUUGCACAUAUUCUGUAAGCCAAAAAAAUCGCUUUAUUAUGAGUACAGUUCCUUAAGUAUUUGAAUGAUGAGUUUUCAUCUCCUUUGGUCACCCUCUAGAUUUGGCUGGAGGAACUUUCCAUGAAGAACUUGGCUUAUUCUCUUAGUGGAACAAGAGAAACAAAGACACUAAAUAUUUUUUUCUAGAUUUUUCUUUAAAAAAUAUUGAAUGAUACCCUGACUGGUGUGGUAAAAGGAGGUAAAUUUGUUUGGGCAAUACUUGAGCCUUUUAUUCAAAAAAUAUAUUUAUUUCAGAAAAUAAACAUUUAAAAAUACAAUAGCUACAAAUGGCAGUGCUAUUUACCACUCUGAAUGUAAAGUUCUCUUUAUGUGUUUGACAUGUAAUUUGAAUGAAUGCAAUAUAUGUGCGGGGGAAAGCUGUGCUUCAGUGGAAAACAUCUGGAACCCAGCUUCUGGAUUAUCUGAUUCUGAUUCUAAGAGGGUUAUUUUAUAGCUCUUUCCAUGACUGAUAACUGAUAGAAAUACAACAUCAUUUUUCUUUACAGAGGGGCAAAUUCUAUCCUGGAGAGUGGAGAGUCAACUGAUUUCCCUUCCCCACUGUGGAAAAAGCCAGUUUUGGCUUCAUUUGCAUAUUCAUGUCAAUAUACUUGAUCUACAAAUAUGUCUAUUCUUUGAUUCUCCUUUGAACAAGUUACAACAUUUGGUUCUCUCACUUAACUGUGUUCAAUAAAUUCUUUAACACUUAUUCAUCUGAUAUUUGCAUAAAAAUCAUAAUGCUGCCUUUUUUGAAAAUUAUCCUUUAACAUACAGUAAAUAUGCACCACAGAGCCACUACAUAAGAUGCAAGAAACAUUUAUAAGCACUUUUAGGCACAGAGUCUUCUAUUUCACCAACUAGCUUUAACACUGAAUUAUUGGACCCAAUUUUAGUUUUUUUGUUUCUUCUCAGUGCUUUUGUUUUUCCUAUAUCUUGAAACAUUUUGAUCUUUCAUAGUAUUGGGACCUAUUU
rnacentral:lncRNA from 1 species